CAGCCGCCGCGGUAAUACCGGCAGCACGAGUGAUAGCCACUAUUAUUGGGCCUAAAGCGUCCGUAGCCGGCUACACAGGUCCGUCGGGAAAUCCACCCGCUCAACGGGUGGGCGUCCGGCGGAAACCAGGUAGCUUGGGGCCGGAAGACCAGAGGGGUACGUCCGGGGUAGGAGUGAAAUCCUGUAAUCCUGGACGGACCACCGGUUGCGAAAGCGCCUCUGGAGGACGGACCCGACGGUGAGGGACGAAAGCUUGGGUCUCGAACCGGAUUAGAUACCCGGGUAGUCCAAGCUGUAAACGAUGCUCGCUAGGUGCGGCGCAGGCUACGAGCCUGCGCUGUGCCGUAGGGAAGCCGAGAAGCGAGCCGCCUGGGAAGUACGUCCGCAAGGAUGAAACUUAAAGGAAUUGGCGGGGGAGCAC
rnacentral:rRNA from 1 species